rnacentral:rRNA from 1 species
AACGAUGGGUACUAGGUGCCUGGGGGAGCGACCCUCUGGGUGCCGGCGCUAAACGCAGGAAGUACCCCGCCUGGGGAGUACGACCGCCAAGGUUGANACUCAAAGGAAUUGACGGGGGCCCGCACAAGCGGUGGAGCAUGUGGUNUAAUUCGACGCAACGCGAAGAACCUUACCUAGGCUUGACAUGCAGGAGCAAGCUCUCAGAAACGAGAGCCCCUCUUCGGAGAUCCUGCACAGGUGCUGCAUGGCUGUCGUCAGCUCGUGUCGUGAGAUGUUGGGUUAAGUCCCGCAACGAGCGCAACCCUUAUCGUAUGUUGCCAGCAUUAAGUUGGGCACUCAUGCGAGACUGCCGGUGAUAAGCCGGAGGAAGGCGGGGACGACGUCAAGUCAUCAUGGCCCUUACGUGUAGGGCUACAAACGUGCUACAAUGGCGUUAACAAUGGGCAGCGAGGUCGCGAGGCCAAGCUAAUCCUUAAAAAACGUCUCAGUUCAGAUUGUACUCUGCAACUCGAGUACAUGAAGUUGGAAUCGCUAGUAAUCGCAAAUCAGCAUGUUGCGGUGAAUACGUUCCCGGGUCUUGUACACACCGCCCGUCACANCCAUGGGAGUUGGUUUUACCCGAAGGCCGUGCGCUAACUANCGGAGGCAGCCGGCCACGGUAGGGUCAGCGACUGGGGUGAAGUCGUAANCAAGGUACC